CUGCCCUCGUGUGUCCAAACUCAGGAACGGCAGUUUCCUUGAAGGGGUAUUCGGUUCCAAGUUUGUGGUAGUUAGCCAAGAAAUAUUACAUGAUUACUAUUACUCUCUCUCCCCCUUUUUAAACCCGUUCAUGAUAAUUAUUGUAUACAUUACCUUUAUUUUUGUAAUGUUCUCCCCUAUUUGUGGAUAUUCUCGAGUGAAAUAGACGAGGCCAUGUAGGGAACACAUGAAGUUACCUAGGAGCAGAGUCUAAAAUAUCUUUUUGAGGGACCUCAAACUAUUAUCAUUUGCUAUACUAUUGAUCAUUACGUUAAGUACAUCUUAUUCAUAUAUGGAAAGUACUUAAUGAAGAUAAUAUACUUUAGAUUUUUUUAUGUAACCAUUUAAGUAUUUGUUGAAAUGCUUUUGUUACUGAUAAAUACAUGUACAUUUAAAUUGAUUUUGUUCUGUCUGUGAUUUUGUAGAUCUGGAUGUUCAGCUGGUCUCAGAUCAAGCAUCCUCCUCUGUACUGACUCCACUAUCCCCAGCUUCAUCCCAUUCAUCAGAUUCCACAAUUGUCCUGGAGUCCACAAGAAAGAGUAGGAACCCAACAGGGUUAAUGGAGCAGAAUGAAGCAAGACAGAAAGUUGAUUGUGUUCUGAGUGCCAAUCCAAAGAGUGAGGAAAUCUUCAAGGAGUAUGAAAAGACCAAAACACUAACAUGUCUGCAACCAGGACGUUCACCAUCUGUUUACGUGUGGCAUAUGUUAGAGCUACAUGGGUAAGAAUUGGAGGUCACUUCCCUCCCUUUGUCAUCACAACAGAUUCAUGUGACGCAGCUAAAGAAUGCUAUUCUGUGUUGCUAUAAAAGGGGAAUUUAUCCUUUAACUUCUUGCAAAACAUACACACUUGCAAAGUAAACUGAUUUAUUUUGAAAGGAGGAUUCCAUCCUCAAGUGUGAGGACCAGUUAUGCACUGGGAAUUGUGACACUUUUUCCAUACCUCCAAGAUCCUUUCUCCAAACAUGGAUAUGAACACUACUAUGAUCCUUUAGGGUAAUACUGGCUUCAUUGCAUGGAGGAUCAAGACAGUUCAACAUAACACCUGUGCUGGCUCCCGGUGUCAUUCCAAGACUGUUCUUCAGUAUGGUCCAAAAACCAGAUGAGAAUCUCUGUUAACCUGUCAACAGUGAUUUGGUGAGGAGUGCAGGGAGGCGAUAUCUACAAUACGAUAUUCCACUGAUGAGAAGAUGAGCGACUUUCCAGUAUUGACAGAAGAUGGUGGGUGAGGAUGCAUCAUCUUCUGUCCUGGAUUUGUUCACUUGUUUCCUUGCUGUAUCUGGAUUGGUAAGAAAAUAUUUAGCUUUGGAAGUAGUUUUGAAAAGGAAAUGACCUUCUCUGUAGUUAUUAAAGGAGUUCACUGGUACAGUAGAGAAAGGAGUUGUUCAGUGAUCACCAUAACAACAACAGGCCGGUCCAAACUGAGAAAUUCAACGUUCUAAUCUUUUAUAUCCCAAAUGUAUGCAUAAAUAACACAGCAGAUCUUAAUUUUUAGUAUUUGACCUUUUAUCCAUUUAUGUCCGUUAUGUUUAAACCUGUAUAAACCUUAUUUAAAG